GACGAACGCUGGCGGCGUGCUUAACACAUGCAAGUCGAACGGAAAGGCCCUGCUUUUGUGGGUUGCUGGGGGGGCAAACGGUGGGGUAACACGUGGUUAACCUGCCCUGAACUUUGGAUUACCUUCAGAAAACGGGGGUGAUUCCCGUAUAGGAUCUCCUCCUGAAUGGGGGGGUUUGGAAAUUUUCGGCGGUUGGGGAUGGACUGGCGGCUUAUCAGCUUGUUGGUGGGGUAGUGGCUUACCAAGGCUUUGCCGGGUAGCCGGCCUGAGAGGGUGACCGGCCACAUUGGGACUGAGAUACGGCCCAGACUCCUACGGGAGGCAGCAGUGGGGAAUAUUGCACGAUGGGCGGAAGCCUGAUGCAGCAACGCCGCGUGCGGGAUGACGGCCUUCGGGUUGUAAACCGCUUUCGCCUGUGACGAAGCGUGAGUGACGGUAAUGGGUAAAGAAGCACCGGCUAACUACGUG
rnacentral:rRNA from 1 species